rnacentral:rRNA from 1 species
UACGUAGGGGGCAAGCGUUGUCCGGAUUUAUUGGGCGUAAAGAGCGUGUAGGCGGCCAGAUAGGUCAGCUGUGAAAACUCGAGGCUCAACCUCGAGAUGUCGGCUGAAACCAUCUGGCUAGAGUCCGGAAGAGGAGAAUGGAAUUCCCGGUGUAGCGGUGAAAUGCGCAGAUAUCGGGAAGAACACCCGUGGCGAAGGCGGCUCUCUGGGACGGUACUGACGCUGAGACGCGAAAGCGUGGGGAGCGAACGGG